rnacentral:rRNA from 1 species
CCCUUAGAUGUUCUGGGCCGCACGCGCGCUACACUGAUGAACGCAACGAGACCACCUGUACCGAAAGGCAUGGGUAAACUUGUGAAAGUUCAUCGUGAUGGGGAUAGAUUAUUGCAAUUAUUAAUCUUCAACGAGGAAUUCCUAGUAAGCGCGAGUCAUCAGCUCGCGUUGAUUACGUCCCUGCCCUUUGUACACACCGCCCGUCGCACCUACCGAUUGAAUGGUCCGGUGAAGCCUCCGGAUUGGCGCGCACCUCGGUGCCGCCGAGAAGUUGGCUAAACCUUACCAUUUAGAGGAAGGUGAAGUCGUANCA